AACGAACGCUGGCGGCAUGCCUAACACAUGCAAGUCGAACGAACCCUUCGGGGUGAGUGGCGCACGGGUGCGUAACGCGUGGGAACCUGCCCUUAGGUUCGGAAUAACAGUUGGAAAUGACUGCUAAUACCGGAUAAUGUCUUCGGACCAAAGAUUUAUCGCCUUUGGAUGGGCCCGCGUUGGAUUAGCUAGUUGGUGGGGUAAAGGCCUACCAAGGCGACGAUCCAUAGUUGGUCUGAGAGGAUGAUCAGCCACACUGGGACUGAGACACGGCCCAGACUCCUACGGGAGGAAGCAGUGGGGAAUAUUGGACAAUGGGCGAAAGCCUGAUCCAGCAAUGCCGCGUGAGUGAUGAAGGCCUUAGGGUUGUAAAGCUCUUUUACUAGGGAUGAUAAUGACAGUACCUAGAGAAUAAGCUCCGGCUAACUCCGUGCCAGCAGCCGCCGUAAGAC
rnacentral:rRNA from 1 species